rnacentral:rRNA from 1 species
AGUGAACGCUGGCGGUAGGCCUAACACAUGCAAGUCGAACGGCAGCACAGGAGAGCUUGCUCUCUGGGUGGCGAGUGGCGGACGGGUGAGGAAUACAUCGGAAUCUACUUUUUCGUGGGGGAUAACGUAGGGAAACUUACGCUAAUACCGCAUACGACCUACGGGUGAAAGCAGGGGAUCUUCGGACCUUGCGCGAUUGAAUGAGCCGAUGUCGGAUUAGCUAGUUGGCGGGGUAAAGGCCCACCAAGGCGACGAUCCGUAGCUGGUCUGAGAGGAUGAUCAGCCACACUGGAACUGAGACACGGUCCAGACUCCUACGCGAGGCAGCAGUGGGGAAUAUUGGACAAUGGGCGCGAGCCUGAUCCAGCCAUACCGCGUGGGUGAAGAAGGCCUUCGGGUUGUAAAGCCCUUUUGUUGGGAAAGAAAUCCAGCUGGCUAAUACCCGGUUGGGAUGACGGUACCCAAAGAAUAAGCACCGGCUAACUUCGUGCCAGCCGCCGCGGUAA